UGAAUUCUUUUCUGUUCCUUUUCAUAUAUUUGGUGGGUCUGCUUAUAAAUGCCAAGACACCACUUGCAGGUAAACGCCGCUUGCUUCUUUUUAGAUCUCCAAGUGAUCUUGGAUUAUGCAUUCUCGACUUUUAAUUCCUACAAUAUGCCUUAAUUUGUUGAAAUCUUGUCUAGGGCUUGUAUUCUUUGUGUGUGAUGUAAAUUUCUUUGUUUAUUUUUGGCAUCGUUGCUAAAUUUUUCUAAUGUGCCUGACAUCUAAUAUCUGGAAUAAGAUUUUUUUCUUUAUACAAAAUAUUGGUGUUCACAUGUAAUUAUCCAUCAACUAUCAAUGGAUUAUAGAAAUUACAUUUCAGGUGCUCAUUUAAUAUCUUCUGGAAAUGGAAAAAGAAAAAUAUAUGAAAGAAUAACAAUGUAAAAUCCUCAAUGUCAAUUUGGCUCUUCCUAGAGCUUAAUUAGUUAACUACUAAUAUGGAUGAUAGUUCUUCAUGUUAUUCUAUAUUGGUUUAUGAAUAAUAGUUUACUGUUAUUGGACUUCUCUUGCAUCAUGUUUUGUUACAUUUUUUUUAUUACAUUUUUUUUAUCACUCACCUUCCAUAUUCAUUUCUGUUUUAGUUAAAUGAUUUCUGUUAACUUAGCUGUGGUGGUGUUUAUUUUAUAUCUCUUGAUCAGUGAUGCACACACAGUUGGGUUAAUUAAAUACCAAGAGCCAUACCCAGUUGGCGUGGAAGUCGUUCA
rnacentral:misc_RNA from 1 species